GAUGAACGCUGGCGGCGUGCCUAAUACAUGCAAGUCGAGCGAACAGACGAGGAGCUUGCUCCUCUGACGUUAGCGGCGGACGGGUGAGUAACACGUGGAUAACCUACCUAUAAGACUGGGAUAACUUCGGGAAACCGGAGCUAAUACCGGAUAAUAUAUUGAACCGCAUGGUUCAAUAGUGAAAGACGGUUUUGCUGUCACUUAUAGAUGGAUCCGCGCCGCAUUAGCUAGUUGGUAAGGUAACGGCUUACCAAGGCGACGAUGCGUAGCCGACCUGAGAGGGUGAUCGGCCACACUGGAACUGAGACACGGUCCAGACUCCUACGGGAGGCAGCAGUAGGGAAUCUUCCGCAAUGGGCGAAAGCCUGACGGAGCAACGCCGCGUGAGUGAUGAAGGUCUUCGGAUCGUAAAACUCUGUUAUUAGGGACGAACAAAUGUGUAAGUAACUAUGCACGUCUUGACGGUACCUAAUCAGAAAGCAACGGCUAACUACGUG
rnacentral:rRNA from 1 species